CACACUGCUUAUGAUGUGAACAGUACUCCCUGGAGGGGGGGACUGCUGGGAUAGCUCUACUUAAAAUCCAGCCACACCCACCUGACUCAGGACUGAUUGAUGAUAAGAGGAUGACCUGGAGACUAGUCAGAUCAAUGCCGACAAUUAAAGGAUCAUUAUUAACAAGGCUUAGGAAGAGAUCCAGAAUGACUACCCUCUGACCUCAACUCCAGAUAAGAAAACUAAGGCUCACUGUCAAGGCAAAAAAAAAAAAAACACUGUCCCAGCAUCAGGGAGUGGCAAGGCUUUUGCAGAGCAAACUUCAAUGCUAGAGGAAUUAAGCAUCUUACAAACUCUUCUGUGGGCAGAGAAGAACUGACCCAAGACAGCAGGACAAGGUCGUGUUGGGGGAGAAACUCCAGCUGUCUGUUCUUCAGCCCUAAACAGGAGAACACCAUCUACCUUCCCAAGUGCAUCAGACUUGUUGAUGAAACAGAUGGUCCUUACACUGAGAUGACCUAAGAGACAGGGAUUGCCCCUGCCUCCAGGAAGCUCUCCUCCUAGGGUUUGAUGCAAGAGCUGAGUCGGUGCGUGGGUAGAAGAGACUGAAAGACGCCAUCUCCCUCCACGUGUUCUCUGGGGUUGGGGGGAGCAUUUCUGAAGGGCUUUCUACAUCAUCUUCAGAGGUCCUUGGAUGAGUGUGGGCCCCUGCUGUCCACAUUAGCAGUCAGCUGAGUAACUGUGGGGCUGAGGCAAUAGCUCAGUCGUCAAAGCGCGUCAGGACUGGAUCACCAGAAUCCACAGGAAUGCUCAUGGCCUACAUGGUGGCCUGACCUUUGUCCCAACUCCAGAAGGAUUCCCGGAGCAAGAGGGCUAAGAACAUCCACAAGCUCGGAGUUUGAUUGAGAGACCCUGCCUUAAUGAAUAGGGAGGACAG
rnacentral:lncRNA from 1 species